GACGAACGCUGGCGGCGUGCUUAACACAUGCAAGUCGAACGGAAAGGCCCUGCUUGCAGGGUACUCGAGUGGCGAACGGGUGAGUAACACGUGGGUGAUCUGCCCUGCACUUCGGGAUAAGCCUGGGAAACUGGGUCUAAUACCGGAUAGGAGCCAUUUUUAGUGUGAUGGUUGGAAAGUUUUUUCGGUGUAGGAUGAGCUCGCGGCCUAUCAGCUUGUUGGUGGGGUAAUGGCCUACCAAGGCGGCGACGGGUAGCCGGCCUGAGAGGGUGGACGGCCAAAUGGGGACAGAGAUACGGCCCAGACCCCAAGGGGAGGAAGGGGGGGGGAAUAGGGAAAAGGGGGCGAAAGCUUGAGCAGGCGGGGCCGGGGGGGGAAUGACGGCUUGCGGGUUGAAAACUCUUUUCACGAGGAAAAAAGUUUGUGGGAAGGGAAAAAAAAAAAAAAACACCGCCAAACGAGGU
rnacentral:rRNA from 1 species